rnacentral:rRNA from 1 species
GACGAACGCUGGCGGCAUGCCUAAUACAUGCAAGUCGAGCGGAGUGGAUGAGAAGCUUGCUUCUCUGACGCUUAGCGGCGGACGGGUGAGUAACACGUAGGCAACCUGCCUUUCAGUUUGGGAUAACUUCCGGAAACGGAUGCUAAUACCGAAUACAUCAUCUUCUGGCAUCAGAGAAUGAGGAAAGACGGCGCAAGCUGUCACUGAGAGAUGGGCCUGCGGCGCAUUAGCUAGUUGGUGGGGUAAUGGCCCACCAAGGCGACGAUGCGUAGCCGACCUGCGCGGGUGAACGGCCACACUGGGACUGAGACACGGCCCAGACUCCUACGGGAGGCAGCAGUAGGGAAUCUUCCACAAUGGGCGAAAGCCUGAUGGAGCAAUGCCGCGUGAGUGAUGAAGGUUUUCGGAUCGUAAAGCUCUGUUGCCAGGGAAGAACGUCCGGGUGAGUAACUGCACCCGGAGUGACGGUACCUGAGAAGAAAGCCCCGGCUAACUACGUGCCAGCCGCCGCGGUAA